rnacentral:rRNA from 1 species
AACGAACGCUGGCGGCAUGCCUAACACAUGCAAGUCGAACGAGGCCUUCGGGUCUAGUGGCGCACGGGUGCGUAACGCGUGGGAACCUGCCCUUAGGUUCGGAAUAACUCCCCGAAAGGGGUGCUAAUACCGGAUAAUGUCUUCGGACCAAAGAUUUAUCGCCUUUGGAUGGGCCCGCGUUGGAUUAGCUAGUUGGUAGGGUAAAAGCCUACCAAGGCGACGACCCAUAGCUGGUCUGAGAGGAUGAUCAGCCACACUGGGACUGAGACACGGCCCAGACUCCUACGGGAGGCAGCAGUGGGGAAUAUUGGACAAUGGGCGAAAGCCUGAUCCAGCAAUGCCGCGUGAGUGAUGAAGGCCUUAGGGUUGUAAAGCUCUUUUACCCGGGAUGAUAAUGACAGUACCGGGAGAAUAAGCUCCGGCUAACUCCGUG